UCAUAUCUCGUCCCCUUGUCCUCCCCCGUCCACCCCUGUCCCUCCACUAUUUACGUGUCAUAGUUGCAUGGUCCCUCGAUACGGCGGAAGGCAUGUCCGUCCCUCUGCCGAUCAGUUAGACGCAUAGGCUGGGCAUCCAUUGGUUCAUGAUCCCUUUUAUCCAUGUCCGCUCUUGUAUCCAUGUCUGUUUAUCCGUUGGACCACACAUCAAUUAACUAGAAAGAAGCAUCAAUGCCACAUAGGUUCACUUGAGGGCGUAUCGAGACACCUCACUAACCAGGCGUGGCUAUAAGAGUGGACACAGGCAGGGCUCAGGGACGGAGGGAUGCCCGGCCUCUCUCAGUCAGUCCCCAACACUGACUGGUAGGGAGGGGAGCAUGUGACUUGUCCCAUUUGGCUCGCCUUGUUCUGUGCCUUUAUUGGGGCUACUGGAAUGGUGCACAGUGAACACAUAUACCAUCAACAGUGACCUCAUCAUCACCUGGGAAGAGGAACUGAUAGAACUGGAGAACAUAGAAGGGGGAAGGAAGGGCUGUGAAUAGUGUUAGAGGGUGUGAGGGUGCAUCUAUAGAACUGAGGGAUGGAUAUCAGUGAGGUAGAAGGAGAGGUUGAAAAAUAUAUGGAGAGAGGUGAAUAUUGGCAGAAGGUUUGUGAAUCUAUAGAGAGAUGGAAGGAUUGGAUGUGAAUAGUGGUAGAAGGUGAGUAGGUGCAUCUAUAGAACUGAGGAAUGGAUAUAAGUAAGAGGUUGAAAAAUAUAUGGAGAAAUGUGAAUAUUGGCAGAAGGUUUGUGAAUCUAUAGAGAGAUGGAAGGAGAGGAUGUGAAUAUUGGCAGAAGGUUUGUGAAUCUAUAGAGAGAUAGAAGGAUUGGAUGUGAAUAGUGGUAGAAGGUGAGUAGGUGCAUCUAUAGAACUGAGGAAUGGAUAUAAGGAGAGGUUGAAAAAUAUAUGGAGAGAGGUGAAUAUUGGCAGAAGGUUUGUGAAUCUAUAGAGAGAUGGAAGGAGAGGAUGUGAUUAGUGGUAGAAGGUGAGUAGGUGCAUCUAUAGAACUGAGGAAUGGAUAUAAGGAGAGGUUGAAAAAUAUAUGGAGAAAUGUGAAUAUUGGCAGAAGGUUUGUGAAUCUAUAGAGAGAUGGAAGGAGAGGUUGUGAAUAUUGGCAGAAGGUUUGUGAAUCUAUAGAGAGAUGGAAGGAGAGGAUGUGAAUAUUGGCAGAAGGUUUGUGAAUCUAUAGAGAGAUGGAAGGAGAGGAUGUGAAUAUUGGCAGAAGGUUUGUGAAUCUAUAGAGAGAUGGAAGGAGAGGAUGGGAAUAUUGGCAGAAGGUUUGUGAAUCUAUAGAGAGAUGGAAGGAGAGGAUGUGAAUAUUGGCAGAAGGUUUGUGAAUCUAUAGAGAGAUGGAAGGACAGGAUGUGAUUAGUGGUAGAAAUUAGCAUGUGAAAGGAAACAACUGGACUCUUCUGCCAUGGCCGUCCUCUCAAGGGUAAUUCCUAGAGAGCUAAGAGGACAUCAGAGCUACAGACAGAUUACAUAGAUAAGAAUUGAAAGGAUACAUUCAUGCCCUAGAGUUGCUUGUCACCAUAAAAAAUCAUAGUGUCACAUCAUCACCAUUGCUUCCAUCACCAUCACAUUUGUACAGAAAAAAAGUUCACUGUGUACAUUUUUUUUUCUUUAUAAUGAUGAAAUAUUUGUGGCUGUGAACGUGGUGGUGACUGCUGACUGUGUGUGUGUGUGUGUGUGUGUGUGUGUGUGAGUGUUUGAGGCCGAGAGGAAUGAAGAGACCGAGAGUGUUAGGCUACUGUGACCAUGAGUGUGUGUGUGUGUGUGUGUGUGUAUGUUUGUGUGUGUUGGAAGUGUGUGUGCCUCCCUGGUCCUCUAACAAGACUACAUGUAUUGACUGUAGUCCAACACAAAUGUGAAGUCUGUUUGGGUGGUGUCCGAGCCUGUUCACAGUGCUGCCGCAGAACCCCAGCACCUCACUCUCUCUCAUGUGUCAGCAGUGUACUGUUUGAAAUAGUGCAUCAGAUAUUCUGUAACACUGAAUAUGAUUUAGCAAGGCUAUGGUCAAGGGACUCCCCACACAGAUCCUGCCCAAGCCAGGGAUGGAGUAUUCGUAUUUGGUGUUCAUAUUCGAAUACAAUCAAAUGCCGUAUUUGGGUGUAUUCAUAUUCGUAUUAUAAUAAUUAUUAAUAGAAAUCAAAUUCUCCUCAUUUAUAUUCGAAAUCAAGGAAAAAAUAUUCGUAUUCUGUGAAUAAUCUGACGAAUACUUCAAAACAUAUUACCAGAAAUACCAGCCGUUGUUCCUCACAAGUCCAGCCUCCUGGGCGGACGUGUAGUGGCCGUGUACGGCACAGGCUUAGGAGCUCAUGUUACUGUUGCAUAACUUUGUGUUAUUUGAAUUAAAACCAUUUCAGUGAAUUUGAAUUCGUGUUCAUGUUCAUUUGAAUUUGAAGUAUUUGUAUGGUAUUUAAAUACACAACUCCUGUGUUCACCCAUCCCUGCCCCAAACUGACUUCACAGCAGAGUCUGACCAUGGCAGUCACAGAUAAUUCAAGCUCAUGGAUCUAGCCAAGCCUUUUACUCUAUUACUCUUGCUCUACUUAGCUCAGUAUUAUGAAGGAGGAAGAAUAAAAGUCUGUGUGUUAGAUAGGCCGCUCACUCUCCCUUCCCUCCCCUCUGCCUCCUCCUCCUCCUCCUCCUCACUCUCCCAGAGAACUGCCACAGAUGAAAACAAAUGCUGGAUUGAUCAGCAAGUUCUCCCUUACUCUCUUUGCAUCCCUUGUGCCUGGCCCCUUCGUCUGUGUGUGCAUGGGAGUUACUUAGUCUUGUCCCUUUGUUGCUAUUUGUGUCGUUUUGUGUGCGUACUUGAAGAUGUUUUCUGUCUACAAGUGUUGGUACUUUAGUAAUGAGUGUGUGUGUGUGUGUGCGUGUGUGUGUGGGGUGUAGAAUCCUGUCCCUGUGUCGAGUUCAGUGUCGUUUUGUGUCUCUGUGAAGGCGUUUUGUUGUCUCGGAGUGUGAGUGUGAGUUUGUUCAGUGUUUUAAGUGCUUUAGGAUGUGUGUAUGGAGUCUGUGUUGUCCAAUGUGUGUGUAUGGUCUGUGUUGUCCAAUAAGUGUGUAUGGAGUCUGUGUUGUCCAAUGUGUGUGUAUGGUCUGUGUUGUCCAAUAAGUGUGUAUGGGGUCUGUGUUGUCCAAUAAGUGUGUAUGGGGUCUGUGUUGUCCAAUAAGUGUGUAUGGGGUCUGUGUUGUCCAAUGUGUGUGUAUGGUCUGUGUUGUCCAAUAAGUGUGUAUGGGGUCUGUGUUGUCCAAUAAGUGUGUAUGGGGUCUGUGUUGUCCAAUAAGUGUGUAUGGGGUCUGUGUUGUCCAAUAAGUGUGUAUGGAAUAUAGUCUUGUCCCUGUGCUGGCUUAGUCUCGUCUGUGUCUCUGUAUAGGUAUUGUAUCGUCUAAGAAUGUGAGUGCCGUAUUUCAGUUUCGUAGGGAGUGUACGGAGUCAGUCUUGUCCUUAUAUUGUUUUUUUUUAUUAUUAUUAUUAUUAUUAUUAUUUUUUUUUUUUUUUUUUUAAUAUAUAAUCUUGUGUGUGUGUGUUCAGAUUUCCGUCUUUUUUUUCUAUUUCUACCGACUGAGAGUGUUCGUACAUAUCACGGAACACAUUCUAAAUCUCCCUCAUUGUCAGUGUUUUGAAUUUCUAUUUAACGCAUACCAGUAUUUUCUUAUAUUCUCUAAUUUCAUCUUUCUGCCUCAGUUUAUAGUACCUCCUUUCUUGCUGCUGUUUCUACGUACUGGAAGUGUUCGUACAAAUCGGGGAACACAUUCUGAGCCUCUCCCAUCAUCACUGUUUUGAAUUUCUAUCUAAUAUACACAUUUAUUUUUCUAUUUGUACUUUAUGGCCUAAACAUUUGCCCAUUUUGAAUUUCUGUAAUAUAUACGUUUAUUUUUCUACUUGUACUUUAUGACCUAAAUAUUUGCCCCAUUGAACGCUGCCAAGGAAAGACAGCAUUUAAAGAACAUGUUAAUAAUGAAACAUGUCUCAUAAUUUUAUAUAUUCCACUGCACACGAGGAUCAUUGCGUUGACUGUUCAUGGAGUAGAGUUUUCUGGUUAUUUCAGUAUUUUCCCGAGAGUUUUGCAUGAGACAGUAUUAUUUAUCUCCUGGUCAUUGGACGAGGUUCUGACACGGAGGUGAGGUUGUCUGGGCCGGCAGGACAUGGCAGCCACUUCUUGAUCAUAUUGAUAACCAUGUUUUUACAGUUCUCGUUUAUACAUCUGUUCAGUUCUCCAGAGCAUGUUUUUUUCUCUACUAUGAGCAGUAACUGUGAUGGCUCAUCCAUACAUUAUUAAAGACCCCCAUCAAGGUAUACCAAUGGAACUGAACUUGAUAGCUUUUGUUGAACCUUAAGAGCAGCGUAUUGUGAUGGCUCGUAUAUACAUUAUUAAAUACCCCCAUCAAGGUAUACCAAUGGAACUGAACUUAAUAGCUUUUGUUGAAUCUUAACCCAGUAGCAGCGACAGGCCAAUUUUGUGGCUUCACCGUGUAGCAGCGAUGGGCCAAAUUUGUACCAUGAUAUAAACCCCCCCAAAAUAGAUGAUACAUAAUCUGAUCAUAAAUGCUUUGAUAUAUAUUAUGAAAUGGUUUGUGUGAGGGGUGAUUUUUUCUCAUUUUUUCGCUUGGAGGGACCAUUAAGAAACAUGAUCCCUGCUGCUAUUGGGUUAAGAGCAGUGUAUUGUGCACUAUAAACUUAUAUCCAAAAUUUUAAUGACCAGUCCGUCCAAAAUUUUAAUUACCCGUCACAAAGUCCUAAUGCCUUUGUGAGCGGCUUUGAGUCUCCCGCCAGCAAGGCCAGGACAACCCACCUCCGCCUUGUUCUCAGUAAAGGGUAGUGCAUUCUUGUCCCUCCUCCUCUUUGGGUCUCCUGUUGAAUAAGUCUCACUGUUGUUUCUUACCCUGGGCAUUUUUUUCCAGACCAGUUCCUUGUAAUGACGUUUAGUAGUUUGAUUACUAACACAUGUUUUUUGCAGCUUGUUCUAGUUGGUAGCAAUGCAGGUAUUGUAUGAGCCGUGGCUAUCAUUUGCUCAUAGAAAGUUGUAUUGUUUGGACUGAGAUUUAUUUGCAGGGGAUGAAAUUCACUGACGACUGAACACUCAAGGCAAUCAAAAUACUAGAACAAAAGUUAUCUAUUAGAGGAUUAAGUAGUAAUAUUUAAUGCAAGGCUGAGUGAAGUGUUCUUGUGACCAGUCAUUGGCAAAAUUAACAGCAUUCUUUGUCCAAUGUCUUAGUAGCAUUUCACUUUUUAUGCAAAUAUGCGAUUGUUUUGUAAAAUUUCUGAAGGGUUGGUAGCAAUAUUUUCCUAGUGAGGUCGGCUACAUGAGGUGAAGGGUGAAUUUCUGCCCCUGACUUAGCCGUUAAGUUGUUUGUGGUGGUGAGAGUUGUGUCACUGUUGGUAGUGUUCUGGUCUCAGUGACUGCCUUAAUGUAGAUGUUCUUUGUGAGGCUGCUAGGACAGAUCAAGAAAACUUCUGGAGUUAAUAAAUAUUUCAUGAUAAACAGAUUCUUACAAUGUUAAACUUGGUGUUGAAGUCAGCUAGAAUUUACAAGCUAUUUUGAGACUAGUUUGAAGGUGUUUGAAUCAGUAGGUCUGCAUCAGUGGCAUGGCUGGGGUGGCUCCAGACCCUCGCGCACCGUACAAAAUCCUGAGAAAAACAAAAUAGUGAAUUAUUUAUUAGCAAUAGGCUUUGGACUUAUUUGUUAACUUUGCCUCGUUAUAUGCAGACCCCGAGCUGUGCCAUUGGUCUAUACUAAAUAUUGAAUGUAAUGAAAAGAAGAUAAUAUUUUGGUGGUCAACAUAUGAUAUAACUGAAAUAUAUUACUACUUGAAAACCAAUAUGAAGUAAUCCACAUAUAGUAAUUUUUGAGACUACAUAGUGCAAAAAGGUAUUAACUGAACGUGUAUGAGUAGACUAACGGACUAUAUACUUACGAGUGCUGUAAGUGUGCUCAUCGCUGUCUUGCGCA